rnacentral:lncRNA from 1 species
GGCGUUAACGACCUUGAAAGCAACAUGGAUCCACAAGAAAUGUGCGACAACAUCAAGGUAAGUCUACUGAAAUCACAAAAUUUGAAACAAUAAGCGCUAAUAGUUGUGUUUUCUUUUAAAUUUUAGGCCUUGAUUGUUCAACGAGACGGCCCCCGUCGUGCUGGUUUUCAAGGUGCUCCCUCGCUGCCUACAAGAUGCUGAUGCGGAAUAGAAAAUGCAAAAACGUCGCUUGCUCAACCGCAAAUUGACGGCUACGCUGAAGCGCAUGCCGUGUCUGCGGAAUUUGAACCCCGAGCUUUCCAGAGUUCCUUGGAAAAUCCUCCCAUGCACCUGCCAUGUACAUUGCCCUCCUCCUUGAUGUGGCGUGCAAGAUGGCAGCAGCAGCUGUGGGAACAGUUGAAGAGGCGAAGAAAGGUCCACUUUAUAAUAGGUUGUAUGUAAAUAAAGCUGAUCAACCUCAACAGAUUCGGCUUCCACUUUUGUCAAGACAAUUGUCAGCAAAGCAAUGGAGCAAUUUCAGUAGGGCGAUAGUAAUAAAUAGUGCAUAGAAA